rnacentral:tRNA from 1 species
GGGCCCGUAGCUCAGCGGUAGAGCACCGGACUCAUAAUCCGAGGGUCGCUGGUUCGAAUCCAGCCGGGCCCA